AUAAAAGGGUUUCAAUUUCAAUUUUCCGUCAUUUCAAUUCCCGAAUUUUAUCAGAUCUGAAUCAUCUGAAUCCCAAUUUUCCAAUUCAAGUCGCUUUCCACGUCACUCAUUAUCCCAUCCCCACAAAAAAAGAAAAGAGCGAAAAGAAUUGAACUUUCGAUUUCAUUUGUGAUCCCCAAAAGGAAAAGAGAGGGGAAACCUGCAAGAAAACGAGAAUCCACUGUCAAAAUGUUUCGUUUCGAGGAGGAAAAGAUCCGGAAACGAAUUUGAUUUGUAAAGUUCUUUUCUUUUUCCCAAUCAAACACUUCCCAGCUUGGUGGCUGUUGCCAUGGCCGACGCUCUUUCGUUGAUUCCCGCAGCCGUGCUUCGCAACCUUGCUGACAAGCUCUACGAGAAGCGCAAGAAUGCUGCUAUUGAGAUUGAGGGUAUAGUGAAGCAGCUAUCUACUGCUGGGGAUCAUGAUAAGAUAACGGCUGUGAUUAAUUUGUUGACUUCGGAUUUCACUCAGUCACCACAAGCCAAUCACCGGAAGGGAGGAUUGAUAGGAUUGGCAGCUGCAACUGUUGGGUUGACUUCUGACGCAGCUCAACAUCUUGAGCAAAUUGUGCCCCCUGUGUUAAAUUCUUUCUCUGAUCAAGAUAGCAGAGUUCGUUAUUAUGCUUGUGAGGCACUAUACAAUAUAGCCAAGGUUGUGAGAGGGGAUUUUAUUAUUUUCUUCAACCAAAUCUUUGAUGCCUUAUGCAAGCUGUCUGCGGACUCAGAUGCCAAUGUACAAAGUGCUGCUCACCUCUUAGAUAGGCUUGUGAAGGAUAUCGUGACUGAAAGUGAUCAGUUCAGCAUUGAAGAAUUUAUACCUUUAUUGAGGGAGCGCAUGAAUGUGUUGAAUCCAUAUGUCCGCCAGUUUUUGGUAGGAUGGAUUACUGUGUUGGACAGUGUCCCAGAUAUUGAUAUGCUGGGUUUUCUGCCUGAUUUUCUUGAUGGCUUGUUUAAUAUGUUGAGUGAUUCAAGUCAUGAAAUACGUCAACAGGCUGAUUCAGCUCUUUCAGAGUUUCUUCAGGAGAUUAAGAACUCCCCAGUAAGGCUCCUGCUAAUGUAUUUUCCCCCUUUUAUUUGAAUUUCUGUAGAUUAUGGUCGAAUGGCUGAAAUACUGGUACAAAGAGCAGGUUCUCCAGAUGAAUUUACUAGGCUAACCGCUAUCACUUGGAUAAAUGAGUUUGUCAAACUUGGUGGAGACCAGCUUGUUCCAUAUUAUGCUGAUAUUCUUGGAGCCAUUUUGCCUUGUAUAUCAGAUAAAGAAGAGAAAAUCAGAGUUGUUGCUCGUGAAACCAAUGAAGAGCUACGGGCCCUCAAGGCUGAUCCAGCAGAAGCAUUUGAUGUAGGAGCAAUCCUCUCCAUUGCCAGGAGGUUUAGUUUUCCUGACCUGGGUGGUUUGAACCCCUGUCGAAGCUAUAAUGAAAUGAUUGGGGGUCCUUUUUGUUUAGCUAACUAAUCUAUUUUGCACCAAUUAUUCUGUGGAAUGAUUUUGGGAUGGUUUGACUGAUCAGGCAAUUAUCCAAUGAGUGGGAGGCUACUCGAAUUGAAGCAUUGCACUGGAUAUCAACUCUUUUAAAUAAAUAUCGUUCUGAGGUUUUGCAAUUUUUGAAUGACAUAUUUGACACCCUGCUCAAGGCACUUUCAGAUCCAUCUGACAAGGUUGUUCUUCUUGUUCUUGAUGUUCAUGCAUGCAUUGCAAAAGAUCCUCAGCACUUUCGGCAGCUUGUUGUUUUCCUGGUGCACAAUUUCCGGAUAGAUAAUUCCCUUUUGGAGAAGCGUGGUGCUUUGAUAAUUCGUCGACUUUGUGUGCUUUUGAAUGCCGAGCGAGUCUACCGUGAACUUUCUACCAUACUCGAAGGGGAAUCGGACUUGGAUUUUGCAUCAAUUAUGGUUCAGGCUUUGAAUUUGAUCUUACUUACAUCAUCAGAACUAUCUGAGAUUCGAGAUCUUUUGAAGCAAUCACUGGUAAAUCCUGCUGGGAAGGAUUUAUACGUUUCUUUGUAUGCCUCAUGGUGCCAUUCUCCAAUGGCAAUUAUAAGUCUAUGCUUUUUAGCUCAGACUUACCAACAUGCAAGUGCUGUAAUUCAAUCUCUGGUUGAGGAGGAUACUAAUGUCAAAUUCUUAGUCCAGCUGGAUAAAUUGAUUCGCUUGCUGGAAACUCCAAUCUUUGCUUAUCUAAGAUUGCAGCAAAGUGCAGCCUUCAAGAUACUCAAAACUCGUUUAAAAGCUGUUUCAUCGUACUCUUUCAACAGUGAGCAAUUAAAGAAAACAUCGUCCGGGAAUCCCUAUCAGUUUCUCCAUCACAUAUCUGGUGGAUCUCAAGUCACUGAGGAUGGUGACAUAAAUGGGGAUGGUGGGAACUCGCACAAUGGAAUAAAUUUUGCUUUAAGGUUACAACAGUUUCAGCAAAUGCAGCAUCAGCAUCGUGUGCACUUGAAAACACCGGCACAGUCACAGAAAAAUUCCACCUCAUCAUCUAAGGAGACACAAAAACAGGAAGAAGCAAGGAGACCCCAGUUGAGUGAGCCUAACGUUGCUCCAUCAAGAUCAUCCAAGAGAGCCCUGGGUAGCUAGAAUGUUGCUUAUUGCUCCAUAUUGAGUCAACCUUAUUGUGCACUGAUCCCAGUGUAUGUGAACUUUGAAUGGGAUCAGGUAUUGAUUUGUAAAAUUGUAAAUCAUAAUAGCUGUUUUUAUUGUACUUAUCAUAGAAGGUCGGGGUGGUGCAAAAGUGGGUUUUGGAAUCAUGAAUAUAAAGCUUGGCUUUGCUGGGCUAUAUUCUUUUGACCUUGUAAACGAGAUACAUACCCACGUGGUUCUGUUGUUUUUGUUGAUAACCAUGUGGGCUAGAGGGGAUAUUUUAUUUAGAAAAAUUGCUUUUUGUUAUCAUGUCAUGUGCUGCCAUAUUAUAUAAUAUAAUAAUAAUGAAUUAGCUG